rnacentral:rRNA from 1 species
GCUGGCGGCGUGCCUAAUACAUGCAAGUCGAGCGAGGUUCUUCGGAACCUAGCGGCGGACGGGUGAGUAACACGUGGGUAACCUGCCUGUAAGACCGGGAUAACUUCGGGAAACCGAAGCUAAUACCGGAUACUUUCGAGCAUCGCAUGAUGCUUGAUGGAAAGACGGCUUCGGCUGUCACUUACAGAUGGACCCGCGUCGCAUUAGCUAGUUGGUGAGGUAACGGCUCACCAAGGCGACGAUGCGUAGCCGACCUGAGAGGGUGAUCGGCCACACUGGGACUGAGACACGGCCCAGACUCCUACGGGAGGCAGCAGUAGGGAAUCUUCGGCAAUGGGCGAAAGCCUGACCGAGCAACGCCGCGUGAGCGAUGAAGGCCUUCGGGUCGUAAAGCUCUGUUGUUAAGGAAGAACAAGUACGAGAGUAACUGCUCGUACCUUGACGGUACUUAACGAGAAAGCCACGGCUAACUACGUGCCAGCAGCCCGCGGUAAUACGUAGGUGGCGAGCGUUAUCCGGAAUUAUUGGGCGUAAAGCGCGCGCAGGCGGUUUCUUAAGUCUGAUGUGAAAGCCCACGGCUCAACCGUGGAGGGUCAUUGGAAACUGGGAAACUUGAGUGCAGAAGAGGAAAGCGGAAUUCCACGUGUAGCGGUGAAAUGCGUA